rnacentral:tRNA from 1 species
CAGGAAGUAGUUUAAGGUAGAAUG